GUGCCCGUAGCUCAGCUGGAUAGAGCGUUGGCCUCCGGAGCCAAAGGUCGAAGGUUCGAAUCCUUUCGGGCACGCCA
rnacentral:tRNA from 1 species